UGGAGCUGGGGCGGGGGGGGGGUUGGAGGUGCUCCCGAGAGGAAAAGGGGAUGUUGGGAUCUGCUGGAAAAAGGGGGGUGAGGAGCAGGAAAGAGGGUGAGGAGGGAGAUGGGGUGGAUGGAUGGGUGGAUGGAUGGGAGUAGGAAGAUGCGGUGGAUGCAGGAUGGUGCAUCCAUGAGUCCUGUGGGGUGAGGGAGAGGAUGAUCAGGGAUCCCCAUGGAAUGAGGGAGGGGAUGGUCAGGGAUCCCCAUGGAAUGAGGCAGAGGAUGGUCCUUGUCCUCUCCCUGUGGAGUGAUGGAAGUGAUGGUGAGGUCCCCUGGAGUGACAGUGAUGAUGGUCGUGGUCCUGUCCCCAUGGACCGAGGGAGGGGAUGGUCUCAGCUGAAAGUGUCGGGAAGUUUGCCGGAGUCAGAAAUUAGGAUCCAGUAAUCCUUGUGCUGAUGGAAGCCAGUGUUUUCCAGGCUUUCCUGUGGAGGUUCUGGUGAGCAGGGGAUGGCUGGGGGCUCUGCUGAGGAGCUCCAGCAGCUCUGCCUGAUUCCCUUGGCAGCUCAGGGUCCUGGGGAGUGUCACAACCCUAGGGAUUGUCCCGUUGGGAUUCUCCAGCACCUGGAGACUUGGGGACUGUCCUGGUGAGGUUCCAGGUUCUCCAGCACUUGGGCCCUAUCCUGUUGAGAUUCCUUGGCCCUGGGGGACUUGGGAAGUGUCCUGUUGAAGUUCCCCAUCCCUUGGGAUCCCUAAAGCUCCGACCUGUAGGGAUCAAACCCUCGUGGCUGUGGGACCUGGUAGUUCCUCCUCCUCUCCGUGUGUGAUCCUGGGAUUAUUUGGGUGGGGAGGAAAACAGCAGCAAAACCUCUUCAUUUCUUUCCUUCUCCUGCUUUUCUUUUUGAUUUUGCUUUGGAAUUUUAUGUUUUUGAAUCCUUCUUUGACGUCGCUCUCACUCCAACUCUGCUGAGACCUGGAGGGCAAACGCUGUCCUGGCCUGAUUCAUGUUCAUGAGGAAUCAUUGAACCUGUUUUGCCCAUGAAAAUCAAAGCUGGACUCGUUUACAUUCCGUAGGGUUCAACGUUCCCCGGGGCUCAGCCUUCCCUAGGGUUCGGCAUUGCCUAGAGAAGCAAACCUAUUCCUUAAGAUAGAAAAAAUCCAA